rnacentral:lncRNA from 1 species
UAUCAGGGUAUCAACGAGUACUCCAGAUACCUGAAUGUGGGGCUUGAGAUUAUCAACAAAGCUGAUUGCAAGGACGAAGCCGAUUUUUGUCACGAUGAAGAUGAUUACGAGUUAGAUCCCAAGGUAUGUUUAAAUUUGAGGACUUUGCCAGAAAGAAAGGGAACUCGACAUACCGAUGAGACGCAUCAGAGAUGGAAUCUGAAUUGUACAUACCUUAGUCUUAUAGUUGAAUGGGGCCGUUUUGGUAGUAGAUUUAUACGUUUAUUAUUUAUUGGACCGAGAGUCGCUUCUUGUACGCCCUGGAAAACGAGCGAGAUUCUCGCAUUUUCUGCGUACAUCUUAAAUAUGUCAUCGAGGGGAGCUUUUCCAAUAGUAGACAAAAAUGCAAGAGGCCUCUCAUGCUUCUUUGUCAUUGUAGAGAUGGUUUUUCAGAAGACUCGACUCGCAAAUUUAU